CUGCUCGCACGCAUCAGUAAUCUCGUUCGCCACCUUACGACUUCGGCUAUUAUCGGUGAACUACGAUGUUUAUUCGGCCCAUCGGCUGCUGCUGGUUGGCGGCUGACGACCUGACGACCAGUCAUGCUUCCCACUGAAACGACGGUACACCAGUGGUUCUUAAUCUUUUUUUUUUCAAUUACGCCACGGUUUAGAAUAAGAUUUUUCAUUGUUGAGGGCCACGGCUCAGUUUGAAAAGGAAAACCUUGGCAUAAGUAGUUCGUAAUAACGAAUCAUCUUGUUUCCGCUAUAAUUUCUUUUCUACGACUGUACGCAGUACUAUAUGUAAUCAUGUUGCAGAGGUCUAGUGAGAGUGAAAUACGAAAUGUGAACAUUCCUUCUUGUGAUUGGUUUGUUUUCUCUUACUCUAUUCGCUUGUAAUGGAUACGAUUUCAGUCAUUGGUUAGUGCCACCGGGUAAUGUUUUUCGUUAUUAUUAUUUAAUUUGUGGCUUAUUCUGAUUCACUAACGUUUUUUCUAAUGGAUUACAAUAUUUUUAAUUGUUACAUUAUAGUCAUUAUAGUAUAGAUACAUUUAUAAAAUAUCAUUAUUAAACUUUAGUAUUAUUUUGGUUUAUUUUAGUUUUAUUUGAUUUGAUUUGACAUAUGAACGUAAUGUUAAUGUUUAUAAUAAAAUAGACUUUGUGUUACGAAUAGUGUCAUUUAUUAUUACAAAAUUCUAGACCAUAAAAAAAAAAAAAAAACAAAAAAAGUUUACUUUUUUUCCUUUAACAACAUUAACAUUUUAUGAAAUAAAAACUAACGAGUUGCGCCAUUAUAAUUAUGUAACACAGUCAUAUGGCAAAUAAUAAAUAACUUCUAUUGUUAUAUAAAUAUUUGCAUACCUUUGCUUUACAAACAUGGAAAAUAUGUAUAUCAAACUAAUUGUAAGUAACAAAAAUGUAUCAACAAUUAAUAUCAUCUUUGAUUUUGGUAUAAAUAAAAAUUAAAGUCUUGUAAAGAUCAUUCUCAAUCCUUUAUUUUCUUUUUACUUUUCUGAUCAAAUGUUAUGUAAACACGAUAGCAUUUACAAUUCAAAAUCCACAGAAAAUGUUUGUAUGUAUGUAUAAAUGUUAAACAUAUUUAUACAUACAUCCAUAUUCAAACUAUAUUAUUAAUUUUCAUUAAUUAAAUAUUCAUUAAUGUUAACAAAUUUAAAUAUGGGAAAACAGCAAAAUAAAAAUUUUAUGAUGGAUGAUAUUUAUGUAACGAAUCAAGCUUAGAUAUAAAGAAAUGUUGUGUUAAAUAUAAAAUGCAUUUCAUGUACCACAUUUAUGUAACCCUGUUUCAUACUUAAAUAACAAUUAAUAAGAUGUAAGUUUUAUUCUACAUACUUUAUAAAACAAAUUUCAGUGUAACAUACUUAAAAUGUAUAAUACAUAUACGAUGACUAGUAGAACACAAUUUUAUCAUAUAAACAUUUUGUGUUUAUAUCAGUGUUUGAAAUCUGCCUAUAAAUAACUAUUUCACAUUGUUAUAUAAAGCUUCUUGGUGAAAUAUUUAUAAAGAACCAUUGCACAUAUAAAAUAACUGUUAUAAAGAACUAAAAAAUGAGAACCUAUUGAUUUCUUACAAACUGAAAUAGUUUGUUACACAUAUACAAUAGUAUUAGUGUAAUAUGAUGAAAAAUUUGGCGAGCUCGUAGAUUUGUACGUAUAUUUAUGAAUUUAUGAAAUUGAAAAAUGUAUAUAUCUAGCAAUUUUGAUAAAAAUUUAUAUUACUCACUAAUACCAUAUAGACGUGAUUAAAAGAGUUUCAUUAUCUAAUAAAUUGAUAUCAGAACUAUUAUAGAACAGAUAUGCAAUCGAUACAAAAAUUGAUAUUAGAACACUAAUAUUAGUACACUUUUUUUAGAUUCUCUAUAACAGUUAUACCAAUUAAUCAAUUUUCAUCAUAUAAAUUUCUGGUUUCUAUAAACACUAAGAAAUUUCCUAUAACAAUGAAUUUUGUGUAAAUCCCUAUAACUCGUGAGACUUAUAUCAACAUGUUUCACAUACUUAAAUAUUUAAAUAAAUAUAACUAUUUUUCAUUUUUGCAGAAACUACUAUGUCGUGUUUACAGCUUGUUCUUUAAGUAUCGAUGAAUAAAAAUAAAAUAUCACAAUUACUAAUUUACUUAUGCUUUAAAAUAAAUUAAUGUAUACAAUUGCUACAUAUAACUCCUAAUCGUUUAAAUAUUUCAUAUCAAUAUAUUGUAUAAUAAAUCUUCACUGUGGAAUAAAGUCUACUAGUAGGUAAUGCAUUUUUAUUGCAUUGUAGAAAAUAUCACAUUAAUGACGGUCCAAUUUUCUUAAAUUUAAUAUAUAAAUCUGAGUUGUUAGGAAAAAAAAAAAAAAAAAAUAUAUAUAGAUAAAUAAAAAUUUCAGUAUCUCUCGAGAAAGCAAAAUAAUUUGAAAAUGCAUUUCCUACUUUAAUGAAAUAUAGUAUAUUAUUCAUUGUAUACUAACACAUACUAAUCUAUUAUAUUAUAAAUAGACCUGCAUACUUAUUACAAGUAUAGAAUCUAAGUUUCUAAUAAAUUACAAAUAACAAAUUACAAUCAUUUGUUUUGGAAGUUAUGAAACUGUAAUAGAUUUCUUAAACAUUUUCUUCUAAGAAGAAAUUAUUAUUAUAGUAACAUUUUUGUAAUUUUUGUCUGAUCUGUAUACCACAAUAAGUUCCGGUAUAUUGAAAUUAGUAUUCCAUGUUUUGAAUAACUACGUCACACAGAGAAAUUUUUAUAUUAUAGACUGCACGCUAAUACAUCGAUGUUUUAUAAGUAUAAAACAUUUAAAAGUAU